UUGCUUUGGCAGCACAUAUGCUAAAACUGGAAUGUUACAGGGAACAUUAGCAUGGUCCCUGCUCAAAGAUGACAGGCAAAUUCAUAAAGCAUUCCUUAAUGAA
ensembl:snRNA U6 U6 spliceosomal RNA